rnacentral:rRNA from 2 species
GGAAGUAAAAGUCGUAACAAGGUUUCCGUAGGUGAACCUGCGGAAGGAUCAUUACCACACCAAAAUAAUGUCCACGUGAACCUGUUUUUGUUUGUACUUGAUUACAUGAUUUGUUUUGUGUAUUCGAGUAGGAAGUAUUGUCAAGAUACUUCUGUUUUUUAAACCAUGAACAAUUUACUAUAAUACUAAAUCUAGAAAUCUUUUUAAUGAAAGUACAACUUUCAGCAGUGGAUGUCUAGGCUCGCACAUCGAUGAAGAACGCUGCGAACUGCGAUACGUAAUGUGAAUUGCACGAAUCAGUGAGUCAUCGAAAUUUUGAACGCAUAUUGCACUUCCGGGUAUUCCUGGGAGUAUGCUUGUAUCAGUGUCUGUAUACUUCCUCACCUUUUUGUAGUCCUUUUUGGAUUGCUAUUUGUGUGGAUUGUGAAAGUCUAUUUCCACUUGUUGGUGAUAGUCUUUUGAAAUAUACAAACAAUGGAUGUAUGCUUUGUAAUAUGUUCUUGUAUGCAAAAUGCGGUAAUAGGCGUUUUCGUUUAUGAUGCAAUUGUGUAUGGGAAUGUUUAGUAUGUAUCUGUGUGUUCUAAUGGGAAAUUGUAGCUUGCUACUCUUUUUUAUUAGACCUGAUAUCAAGCAAGAUUACCCGCUGAAUUUAAGCAUAUCAAUAAGCGGAGGA